AUGGCGGAGUUGGUGGUUGGUUUGUCCAAAUCGGUGGUCGAGGGGGCGCUGACAAAGGUCCAGUCGGCGAUCGAAGAUGACGCCAAGCUCCGGCAGAGGGCGCAGCGUGACCUCGUGUCCAUUACUCUCGAGUUCGAGAUGAUGCAGUCCUUUCUCAACGUCGCCAACGAGGAGAGUGUCAAGAACACUUUGGUUGGUACCUGGGUGAAGCAUGUCCGGGAGCUGGCCUACGAUCUCGAAGACUGUGUUGAAAAUGUAGUUCAUCUUGACAGCAAACCAAUCUUCUGGCGCCGGUUGUUCCAGCCUUGCAUGGCACUGGCAGACUGUUCGCUGCCACUGGACCAGGCCGUCGAGGAGUUAGCGGAGCUCAAGGGCAGGGCCGAGGAGUUAAGCAAGUGUUACUCCCGCUACAGUAACAUCACCGACUCUGCUGGCUCCAAGUUGAUCAUGAUGCAACAAGAGGGAGCCUCCAGCGCAAUAGCACUCGACAUGCUCCUCAAGGCAAGGGAUGCGGCGAAAGGACAGAAAUUCCUUGGGGAUCUCACCCAGCUAAUCACACAGGAAGGUCGUCCCAGUAAUGACCUCCAAGUGAUCUCGGUAUGGGGGUCAGCAGGCAAUCAAGGGGCGAUAUCUAUAAUGAUGAAGACCUACAAGGACCCAGAGAUCUGCCAUAGCUAUACCCACCGGGCCUGGGUGAAGCUCAUGCAUCCUUUCAAUCCACACGACUUCAUCCGCAACUUGAUGGCUCAGUUCUUUGAACACUCUUUCGAGGAACAAGGAGAAACCACCAUAUGUGUACAACUCCUAACCAAGAUGGAUGAAGCCACCCAGUCUCAAGCACAUCUCUUCAAAAAGUUCGAGCAGCUGGUCACACAGGAGAGGUAUCUUGUUGUGUUGGAAGAUCUCUCAAACAUGGUAGAAUGGCAUGCUAUCAGGAAGUUUCUUCCUCAUAGGGAGAAUGGCAGCUGCAUCAUCGUGUCCACGCAGGAAUCAGAAAUAGCAAGCUUGUGCAUCGGCCACACUUACGAGAUACUGGAGCUGAAGCAGUUCUCCGCAGAGCACUCCAUUUGUGCCCUCUUCAACAAGGGACCUCAAUGUGACCGAGAUAAAGGCGAGGAGACUGGUGUUGGAAAGACAGCAGCCCAAGACUGGAUGACGAAGCAUCCCCUUGUUGGACGGGAGUCGGAAAUGAAUAAUCUCCGUCAAUAUACUUCAAAGGCACGUUUCUAUUCAUUUGAAGUUAUGUCCGUGUGGGGGAUAGCUGGCGUUGGGAAAUCAGCUCUCCUGAAAAACUUGCUGUGCGACACAGUUCUUAACGACUGCAGACUAGUUGAGAAAACCAAACCCAGCAUAUUUGACAAGUAUGCCUGGGUGGAUGUAUCCUAUCCAUUCAAUUUGAGAGAAUUCUCUCGGAGUUUACUAUUGAGUUUUCAUUCCCAAUCUCUUCAAGCCAACAAGGACCAUGAUAUUGAUAUGAUGGGAAGCAAAAACCCCAUUCUAGAGUGCCGUGGGAUUCUUAAACAGGUUAGGUGCCUCGUUGUCAUUGAUGGUAUCGAGUCCACGAAAGAAUGGGACUUGAUACAGGCUGAAUUGGUAUCUGGAUCUUCAAAGAACUGUAUUAUCAUCAUUACCGCUGAAGAAAGCGUUGCCAGGCAUUGCCGCGGAAAUAAAGGGGAGCUCACGUUUAAUGUUAAAGGUCUACAAGCUGAUGAUGCCCUUGCUCUCUUUAAAGAGGAGGUUACCAGGAAGAAUAAAUCAUUCCCUUCAAAAUAUCAUGACCCAGAUCUGGAGGUUCAACUUCACGAACUUACUCUGAAGUGCGGGGGUCUUCCCAAAGUGAUAAUUGCUAUUGCUGGCUUAUUGGCACCAUUGAAGCCUGACACAUUCAAGGAUACUGUUCGUUAUUUGAAUGAUGGAUUUAUGGAUCAUAUAGAGACUAACCGAGAGUUUGAUUGUCUAAGUGGUCUUUUUGGUUGGAUGAACUCCAUCAUACUUAAUCCCCCAGAUUUCCUCAAGCCAUGUAUCUUUUACCUGGCAAUUUUUCCUCCAAACCAAAUCAUUCGGCGGAGACGGCUAAUAAGGCGGUGGAUCGCAGAGGGAUACUCAAGGGUACUAUUGGAAAAACAUGGCGAGGAGAAUGCGGAGAAGUUCUUCUCACAGCUCCUAGAAAAGAGCAUAUUCCAGCAGGUAACACAACUAAGUGGCACCACACUGAAUGACACAAGGAUGAGUUUUUACCAGGUCAAUGGUCUCAUUCGCGAGUACAUUGUAUCACGACGAAUGGAAGAGAACCUUGUGUUUGAAUUGGGAGGCAGGAGUUCUGUCCUAACCAGCCAAAGCACAGGGCGUCACCUUGUCAUAUCAAGCCGGGACACAGAAAAAACUGUGUUCGAGAGCAUCGACUUCUCACGGCUAAGGUCACUCACUGUGUUUGGGCAGUGGGAAUCAUUCUUCAUCUCCAAAAGUAUGAAGAUGCUUCGGGUGCUUGAUCUAGAGGAUGCGUCAGGUAGUGUUGAGUAUGAAGAUCUCAAGAAGAUGGUGAAACUGUUGCGUCGCCUCAAGUUCCUCUCACUGCGAGGACGGCCCGAGAUCAACCGCCUACCAAGUUCACUGGACCAUCUGAGGCAGCUACAGACUUUGGACGUCAGGGGCACCUCCACAUUGACCCUUCCGGAGAAUAUUACAAAGUUACAGAAGCUGCAGUACAUUCGCGCCGGCAGCACAGAUGUCCCAGCAACAACACCAUCACCAAAUGUUUCGUCCAGCUGGUUGUGCAAACGACAUUCCUUAGUUGGUGUUAAGGUGCCUGGAGGGUUAGGAAAACUGACGGCGUUGCACACGCUUGGUGUUAUCAACGUUGCUGCUUCAGGAUCAAAGACCUUUGUGAAAGAUCUCAAGAAGCUCACCCAACUGAGCAAGCUCGGAGUGUCUGGCAUCAACAAGAAGAACAGCAAGGAGUUCUUCUCUGCAAUCGAGGGUCAUGUACAUCUGGAGUCCUUGUCAGUGCAGCUCGACAACGAAACUCAAGGCUGUUGCUCCAGGAAUCGUGGUAAUCAAGGCUGCUUGGAUGGCAUCCCCAUGCCUCUGGCAUUGGAGAACCUUCGGAGCCUUAAACUGUAUGGGCUUAAUGACAAGUUGCCAGAAUGGGGGAUCAACCAGCUCAGCAAGCUCACAAAGCUGGAUUUGGAGAUGGCCACUUUGAUGGGAAACGACAUGAUGAAGUUUCUUGGAGAGCUACAACAACUAUGUAUUCUUCGUGUCAAGCAGCUCCAAGAUGGUACGAUCUGCUUUCAUGUCUCUGUGAAUAAUGUAGUGGUCCACUUAUUUGAAAAGGUCAAGAUCCUCCAGAUUGCUUGUGGUAGCAGCUCCAGCAGCUUACACGUGUCUUUUGGGUAUAAAUCAAUGAAGAAACUUGAGCUGCUCAAGGUUGACUGCCACGGUGGGUCACCUCCAUAUAAGUUAUCUGGCCUGGAGAAUCUAAAAGGACUCAGUCGGUUGCUCUCUGCCCAGCAAGAUGCUGCCUGCUCCCUGGUAUACCGCAACGCUAUUUGA
rnacentral:rRNA from 1 species